CCUACGGGAGGCAGCAGUAGGGAAUAUUGCUCAAUGGGGGAAACCCUGAAGCAGCAACGCCGCGUGGAGGAUGAAGGUUUUCGGAUUGUAAACUCCUUUUGUUAGAGAAGAUAAUGACGGUAUCUAACGAAUAAGCACCGGCUAACUCCGUGCCAGCAGCCGCGGUAAUACGGAGGGUGCAAGCGUUACUCGGAAUCACUGGGCGGAAAGAGCGCGGAGACGGGUUAGCAAGUCAGAUGUGAAAUCCUAUGGCUUAACCAUAGCACUGCAUGUGAAACUGGUAUUCUAGAGUAUGGGAGAGGUAGGUGGAAUUCUUGGGGUAGGGGUAAAAACCGGAGAGAUCAAGAGGAAUACUCAUUGCGAAGGCGACCUGCUAGAACAUAACUGACGCUGAUGCGCGAAAGCGUGGGGAGCAAACAGGAUUAGAUACCCUUGUAGUC
rnacentral:rRNA from 1 species